GUGUCAGCCGCCGCGGUAAUACGAGGGGGGCGAGCGUUGUUCGGAAUUAUUGGGCGUAAAGGGUGCGUAGGCGGUUUGGUAAGUCUCUUGUGAAAUCUAUGGGCUCAACUCAUAGUCUGCAAGGGAAACUGCCGGGCUUGAGUGUGGGAGAGGUGAGUGGAAUUUCCGGUGUAGCGGUGAAAUGCGUAGAUAUCGGAAGGAACACCUGUGGCGAAAGCGGCUCACUGGACCACAACUGACGCUGAUGCACGAAAGCUAGGGGAGCAAACAGGAUUAGAAACCCUAGUAGUCC
rnacentral:rRNA from 1 species